GUCUCCGACCAAAAGUCCAUUCAUUCCUAUGUGAUUCUCCGUAAUGUCAGUUUUUCCGCCGAAACUCCUCCCCUCCGUAAAAUCUCUCUCCGGAAUGUCCGUAAUAUACGUUCAAAAAAUGUAACUUUCGCCGUCGUUUUACGGAGAUACCGUAUGAAAGUUUUUAUGUUUUUCUCAAAACAUGUAAGUACCUGGCAGGCCAAACUCCUCACCGAUCUCUUUCCAAGCCUGGUUGGUUUUGUUUUUAUCUCUGGUUAUAUAUGGAGGUAGAUUUGUGUCUUUAUUAUGCAAUCAAAAAUAAUAGGUUUGAGAGCAAAACUUUCCACACUGCAAUCAAAAAAUAGGUUUGAAAGCAAAACUUUCCACACUGCAAUCAAAAAAUAGA